UACGGAGGAUGCAAGCGUUAUCCGGAAUGAUUGGGCGUAAAGCGUCCGCAGGUGGCAAUGUAAGUCUGCUGUCAAAGCGUCUGGCUCAACCAGAUAAAGGCAGUGGAAACUACAUAGCUAGAGUAAGGUAGGGGUAGAGGGAAUUCCAGGUGUAGCGGUGAAAUGCGUAGAUAUCUGGAGGAAUACCGGUGGCGAAGGCGGCAUCCUGGACCGGCAUUGACGCUGAGUGAGCGAAAGCCAGGGGAGCAAACGGG
rnacentral:rRNA from 1 species